UUCUGCUGUGUCAUGCAAGAAGGAGGCGGCAGCGGCGGCCGGAGCUGGAGGGGGAGGAGGGGAGGAACCUGAUCCUCUGGUAGCGAAGGGCUGGAGGCAAACACCGACCUCCCCUAGAGCCGCCCGGGAGUAGGGAGGGCUCCGCUACCCCGAGGGGCCCUCCCCGCGGGGCAGAGGAAUUUAAUGUCCAGAUUCUGAACAGUGCCUUGAGGUCACCCAUGCCACCCUGCAGACUCUCCAGAGACUAUUGGACUCAUAAGCUAUUGGAUUCAUACCUGAAACCAUGGGGAUUGGAAUAAGGAAUUGCUCCAAGAGGAAUGGGUGUUUCAGAUACAUCAUUCUGUUACAGGUACAGAAAUUGUUUCCAGGAAACACUGCCAUCAUUAUCUCUGAAAGGCAAGUCAGUGGAAAUGGUUAUUUUCCAUUUACAGAUGGACAAAUGGGAGCUUUCUUUCUCAUUUA
rnacentral:lncRNA from 1 species